CCUCCCGCUUGUUGGCAUCUCCACGGCCGUAGCGCCGCGGUGAGCGCGGCGCGGGCGCGCGCGGGCGGUCGGCCGGGGUCGCCGUACCGUCCGUCGCCGCGGGGCGCGGCCACCUUUUUCCCUUUGUGCCGCGAGGACUCAUAGACGCGUUCAACAAUCGUCAUGUACAUGUCCGUAUUCGUUCUCAACAAAUGUUGCAGAUGCAUGUUUCGCGCAAUGCGUGUUCCACCAUCCAGUAACCAAACACAUCGAACGAAUCAUCACUGUACAUUCCCCCAUCACAUCUAAUCCUCUGCAUAUGAAUCCUCUGCAUAUGCCAGGCCGGGCAUGCAUGGACAGCUACUCCUCAUCAUCCCGCUACAGCUUGCCAUCUAGCUAGCAUCGCACCAGCGGCGGUGCAGUGCAGCCGCGCGCGCGGCAGUGCACAUUCAUUGUCACGCCGGCGGCCCUGCUGCACGCAGCUCGUCGCAGCGGCCUCACCACGACGACGGGCGCGCGAGAAUUCCAUUCCCUCCGUUCUCGAAUAUGGAAAGUCGUUCCCCAGCGCCCUCUCGCCCUCUGCUUUGCUGAAAAAGAGCCCGGUAGUUUUACACCUUUUCUUGCAUUGCAGUUGCAGCACAAGCACAAUGGGUAGCCCUUGGUAGCUGGCUUGGAUUCAUGUCAGACCCUACCAUGUUUAUUCACUGCCCCUGCAUGCAUUGGCUCCCUCCCGGGACAGUUCUCAGCAGAAGAGACCGAGACCGGUGACCGGACAUCUCAACCCAAGUGCUGAACAUUCUCUAAAAUAGCUCGUAUAUUCAUAGCCACGCACUAUGUUGGGCUUCAGGCUUCAGCUAAUAUAUACUCAAUAAGCAUGUCCUGAACCCCAUAAGCUAGCUAGGAUCACCAAACCCACUAAUUAAAUAACAGUACGCACCUCUAUAUAUUGUGUGUUUUAUUGUCCUAGCUAGCACCUAAAAUACAUACCUAUGCCAUGCAGCCGGCAGCCCUGAACAACCCUGUGCGAGGCAUGUUUG
rnacentral:lncRNA from 7 species